AUUAUGGCUGCUGUUCCUCAAAAUAAUCUACAGGAGCAACUAGAACGUCACUCAGCCAGAACACUUAAUAAUAAAUUAAGUCUUUCAAAACCAAAAUUUUCGUAAGUGUUUUGACUGGUUUGCUGUCACAUAGGCACUAACUUACCACAUUGUACACAUGAGAUAUCUUCUCUUUAAACUCCCCCAUUGUACAGAUGAGGAAAUGAAGCUGAGAGAUUCAUUGAUUUUCCCACUUUGCCAAUUAAUGGUAGAGUAUGUUUUAGCAGCACCAGAGGUUUCACUUUUAAAAAGAAAACAUCUUCAGAUAACAAUGUAUCUGUAACUAAUGUGUCAGUAGCAAAAACACCUGUAUUAAGAAAUAAAGAUGUUAAUGUUACCGAAGACUUUUCCUUCAGUGAACCUCUACCCAACACCACAAAUCAGCAAAGGGUCAAGGACUUCUUUAAAAAUGCUCCAGCAGGACAGGAAACACAGAGAGGUGGAUCAAAAUCAUUAUUGCCAGAUUUCUUGCAGACUCCGAAGGAAGUUGUAUGCACUACCCAAAACACACCAACUGUAAAGAAAUCCCGGGAUACUGCUCUCAAGAAAUUAGAAUUUAGUUCUUCACCAGAUUCUUUAAGUACCAUCAAUGAUUGGGAUGAUAUGGAUGACUUUGAUACUUCUGAGACUUCAAAAUCAUUUGUUACACCACCCCAAAGUCACUUUGUAAGAGUAAGCACUGCUCAGAAAUCAAAAAAGGGUAAGAGAAACUUUUUUAAAGCACAGCUUUAUACAACAAACACAGUAAAGACUGAUUUGCCUCCACCCUCCUCUGAAAGCGAGCAAAUAGAUUUGACUGAGGAACAGAAGGAUGACUCAGAAUGGUU
rnacentral:lncRNA from 10 species